UAUAUUUUACGGCGUUAAGGGUGAUUAGAAUUAAUCUCAUCUUAAAUAAAGUUAAGACCUCAUUAAGCUGUCAUACGCUUUUAUGCUUAAAAACACCACUCACGAAAGUAACUUUAUACAAACAGAAUUUUUGACCUCACGACAGUUAAGGCCCAAACUAGGAUUAGAA
rnacentral:rRNA from 1 species